UGCCGGAGGUCAUUGCUAUUGGAGUCCGAUUUAGCCAUGCUAGUUGCACGAGUUNAGACUCGUAGCAGAUAGCUCAGUAACACGUGGCCAAACUACCCUAUGGAUCCGAAUAACCUCGGGAAACUGAGGCUAAUGCGGAAUAGCGUUCAUCGCCUGGAGUGGCACGAACGCGAAACGUUACGGCGCCAUAGGAUGUGGCUGCGGCCGAUUAGGUAGACGGUGGGGUAACGGCCCACCGUGCCCAUAAUCGGUACGGGUUGUGAGAGCAAGAGCCCGGAGACGGUAUCUGAGACAAGAUACCGGGCCCUACGGGGCGCAGCAGGCGCGAAACCUUUACACUGCACGCGAGUGCGAUAAGGGGACUCCGAGUGCGAGGGCAUAUAGUCCUCGCUUUUCACGACCGUAAGGUGGUCGUAGAAUAAGUGCUGGGCAAGACCGGUGCCAGCCGCCGCGGUAAUACCGGCAGCACGAGUGAUGACCGCUAUUAUUGGGCCUAAAGCGUCCGUAGCUGGCCACGCAAGUCUAUCGGGAAAUCCGCGCGCUUAACGCGCGGGCGUCCGGUGGAAACUGUGUGGCUUGGGACCGGAAGACCAGAGGGGUACGUCCGGGGUAGGAGUGAAAUCCCGUAAUCCUGGACGGACCACCGGUGGCGAAAGCGCCUCUGGAAGACGGAUCCGACGGUGAGGGACGAAAGCUCGGGUCACGAACCGGAUUAGAUACCCGGGUAGUCCGAGCUGUAAACGAUGUCUGCUAGGUGUGGCACAGGCUACGAGCCUGUGCUGUGCCGUAGGGAAGCCGUGAAGCAGACCGCCUGGGAAGUACGUCCGCAAGGAUGAAACUUAAAGGAAUUGGCGGGGGAGCACUACAACCGGAGGAGCCUGCGGUUUAUUGAUC
rnacentral:rRNA from 1 species